UCAGGGUGUAGCUAAGAUAGCAAAGCAUCUCCCUUACACUGAGAAGUCAUCCGUGCGAUUCGGAUUACCCUGAA
rnacentral:tRNA from 1 species